UCCGGUAUGGUGUAACGGCUAACAUUGCCGCCUUUCAUAGCAGAGGGUUAAGUUGCGCGGCAGCUCGGGGUUCGAUUCCCCGUACCGGAA